CCACACCAAAAAACACCCCACGUGAAUGUACUCUUUAUGAGGCUUUGCGCUGCCCUUGUGGCAGCUAGCCGAAGGUUUCGCAAGAAGCCGAUGUCAAUUUGAAUCCUUUUUAAAAUACGACUGAUCAAAACUGCAGAUAGAAAUGUCUGCAUGCAAUUGAAAU
rnacentral:misc_RNA from 1 species